GACGAACGCUGGCGGCGUGCUUAACACAUGCAAGUCGAACGGAAAGGCCCUGCUUUUGUGUGGUGCUCGAGUGGCGAACGGGUGAGUAACACGUGAGUAACCUUCCCUUGACUUUGGGAUAACUUCAGGAAACUGGGGCUAAUACCGGAUAGGAGCUCCUGCUGCAUGGUGGGGGUUGGAAAGUUUCGGCGGUUGGGGAUGGACUCGCGGCUUAUCAGCUUGUUGGUGGGGUAGUGGCUUACCAAGGCUUUGACGGGUAGCCGGCCUGAGAGGGUGACCGGCGACAUUGGGACUGAGAUACGGACCAGACUCCUACGGGAGGCAGCAGUGGGGAAUAUUGCACAAUGGGCGGAAGCCUGAUGCAGCAACGCCGCGUGCGGGAUGACGGCCUUCGGGUUGUAAACCGCUUUCGCCUGUGACGAAGCGUGAGUGACGGUAAUGGGUAAAGAAGCACCGGCUAACUACGUG
rnacentral:rRNA from 1 species